GGAAGCUUAUGAGCCACUGUUGCACCAGACCCAGCCUUUGAAGAAGAAUCUUUUGGAAUCCUUUGAGAUUUUCCUGAAGAACAGAAAUGUUUCCACUGUACGGUCCAUGCUGGAGCUUUCCAUGGCAGGUGACAAUGCUGAUCGCUCCAUGUUGGAGUCAUUGAAUGAGGAAUUCCGAGUUCCAGUAGAAAUGCUGCUAUCCUACUUAGGGAUUUUCCAGGACACUAAAAGAGGAGAAAACCAAGAUCUCUGGGGACCAAUCUACUUCUUUUGUUCUUCUAUAGAUGAAUUAGACUAUGAGAUGAUGCCCCUCUUACAGAAA